rnacentral:rRNA from 1 species
AAGACCUUGCGCUUUUGGAGCGGCCGAUGCCUGAUUAGCUUGUUGGUAAGGUAAAAGCUUACCAAGGCUUCGAUCAGUAGCUGGUCUGAGAGGACGGCCAGCCACACUGGGACUGAGACACGGCCCAGACUCCUACGGGAGGCAGCAGUGGGGAAUUUUGGACAAUGGGGGCAACCCUGAUCCAGCCAUGCCGCGUGAGUGAAGAAGGCCUUCGGGUUGUAAAGCUCUUUCAGCCGGAACGAAACGGUUACGGUUAAUACCCGUGAUUACUGACGGUACCGGAAGAAGAAGCACCGGCUAACUACGUGCCAGCAGCCGCGGUAAUACGUAGGGUGCGAGCGUUAAUCGGAAUUACUGGGCGUAAAGGGUGCGCAGGCGGUUUUGUAAGUCAGAUGUGAAAUCCCCGGGCUUAACCUGGGAACU